UAUGAUACCAACCUGACAUGUUACCAACAAGUUUAAAAAAAAAGUGCACAGGAAAUUUGGUGCACAUAGAAGACAUGAGUUGAGAAGACUAAAGUAGUGUGGGAAGAGUCAUACUGGGAUUGGACUUCCUGGUCCUGCACGCUUUUCUCAGCCUACUUUGCAAUUGCUUGAACAUGGUAAGCAGUGUGCCAGACUUUCUCAGGUAAGCAGAGGAGAUAGUAGAGUUGACUCCUUCUUCAACUACCAGUAAUGAUCAAAUGUGUUAUAAUAUGAUAUGUAUUUAUCUUUGAAACCAGUUGUACAAAGUCUAUACACCUUGCUAAGCUCUUCAUUCACAGAAUAGCAAACAAACAAGCGUAUUUUUAUCAGUAACAUGGAUUUACCAUGUUUCUACAUAGAAGCUGCUGAGUAUGGUAAGUAUUGAGUGCAUCACUACAGUACAAUCUGGUUCUUUCUGUCUUGUAUGACUGGGAUUUACUAAAAAAUUUUGAGAGUUCCUUUUCUCCAUUUGACACUUUUUAUAUUAUUGGUUCAAAACUACAUUAACAGAAAUACAUAUAACAUUCAUCAUAUACAAUGCCUGAAAACAAAAUUAAAGUGCUGUCAUCUCUGCUUUUUAGUGGCUAAGAGAAACAGGAGAAUAACAAAUUCUUCAGAUAAGCAUUAAGCACUCAAACUUCCUAAAACUACAGUGUUGUAUCUCUGUAGAGUCAGCACAGUUCUUCAUCAACAUGAAACAGAUUAAAAUGCACUCUGAAGACACAUGUGUGUGUGUAAGCAUGAACACCUACACCCCAUCAUACAUACUGAUGAUUGGCUUUGCUUUUCAGUAUUUAGUAAUUGUCUGCAUUGUCAGGCCGUAAUUGGCUAGUGUGGUAUUUACUGUAUGCAGGUGUUUGUGUCUCCCUGUCAUUUUAUUGCAAUCUUCCUUGCAUAGGCACUAAAUUUCUGGUACACUUUGGUUGUAGUGAAAUGUAGCGUGUGCGGGGUAAAUUAUAUUCCUUCCGUUCCACAGAGAGCUCUACAUGUCUCAUUUUCUGUAUGUAUAAGUCUUUAAAGCAUUUUGACAUUCUUUGAAGGAAGGAUAAUUCCUGAAUGUUUGAUAUACAAUUCCACUCCUGAAUCCUUUCUCAGAUACGUUUCUUCUGAAGCUAACCUUGCUUGAGUGCUGCCCACACUUAACUUUGUACAUGCCAAUGCAAAUCUGAUUAUAUGCAUGUAAAAUGUGUGCGCAUGUAUCAUAUAAACAAAAAGAACUAGAUAGAACUUAAAAAUAGGAAUAGAAAUAGAAAAAAAAAGUGUGUGCUUUGAAAUUUUUCCUGGCUAGUAUUACAUGGCACUAUUACUGUUAAAGAAUGCAUACCAUUUUAUACAUAUUGUGGGUAUUUGACAAGCAGUAAGUGAAGAUGUGGGUCUGGAUUACAUUUGCAUAGGAAAAAAGAGGCCACAAAAGGGGGAAAUAUCAGUUAGAAUCACCUUGAGGAGAUUUCUUCCUAACAUUUUCUCAGAAGAUAGUUUCUUGUGCAUUGGUCAAGGUUACGAAGUUCUGUUUGCUGUGAGGAUGUGAGCAAUCUAAAGAAACCCAAGGCCCUUGUUCUCAAGGGCUUAUGCUUCUGUUGCAGACUGGCCUGGCUUUUUUCAGGAGUUGGACUUUUCUUGUCCAAAUAUCAGUUGAUGUUGCCAUGAAUGACAACAAUCCUCAGGACUCAUUUCAUGCAUCUUCAGGAGUGAUGUUAUGAAAAAGCCAGACCUUUUUUGUAUUGGCCAUCAUACGCACUGAUUCAGUACAAUGGCUACCAUAACCUGCUUGCAGACCUACCACCACUAAAAGGAGAAAACUAAUACUCUUAAACCCCCCAGUAUUUGUCCUGCCUUCUAGUUCAUCCACAUACUGUAUGUCGUGCCUUUCUUAGUUCAUUUCCCACACAGCUGCAAAGCUGUUUUGAGACAAUAGCAAACUGGAAUUCAAAUUUCUGACCGAAAAUUGGUCUAAGCUAUUGAAACCAGGUGGCAGGUGAAUGAAGGUCUCUGUCUUUCCAGAUGUUUCUCCAGAUAUUAAUAGUCUUAAUUCUGAUGUCCAGAAAAAUAUAGAUUGCUUUUGGAAAUGUGAGUGCUUCUUUGUGUUAAGAGAAUAGCAUAUUAUCAAAAAGCAAGUACUCUUCCCUAACAUGUAGUAACUACAAUAUUUUUGUAGCUCCUCUUUCUGCUCCCCAAAGUCUAUAUAAACAAAAGGAAAAACUCUAAAGUGCUCUGUGGUUUCAAAACCACUUUUUUGAGAAAAAUAAAAAGAACUGCAUUGAGAGUCAGUGUUAAGAAGUAAUGAAUAAUAAGUGUCUAAUUGUCAAAUGAAAUAACCCAUAUGUGAUUAUCAUGUAUAAUGUAAAAGCAUAAAGACCACAAAGGGAACUGAACAUCUUGGGGGACGUAAGUAUAUUGCAGAAGAGCCUUGCAAAGAAUUUCCUGAAAGGUCUAAGAAAGUCUAUAUUCACGUCCAAGCAUUUUCUGUAAGUUGGCAUCCUUCAUGUUUAGAAAAAGUAACCCAAUUAACUGCUGAAGUACUAUCCUGUCUUCUACAGGAUACCAAGUUCAAAAGCAGCACCUACGUUUCCACAUCUCGAGCUGUUAUUAGUUAAGCAUUAUGUUAGAGAUAAAACCAGUGGAGGUAGGAGGUAUUUUGCUUGUCCACCUCUGUUAGCAUAUUUAACUACACUAUUGUAAAAAAUGAUGAUGCCAAAUUCUUAAUACCUGUGGUAUCAGUCACUAAGCAAAAAGGCCAAGUGAAUAAGGAGAGAAAACAAAUUGAUUUUUAAAAAUGUGGUCUGCUUGAUGUUUUGCACUUUGUUCAGAUAUGGGGAUCUAAUGAGGUAAUACAUGAAUAAUAAAUUAGAAAUAGCAUGAAUGUUAUGGUACUCAGAAUUCAAAUGUUAAGAAAACUCAGGUGGAAAUUAUUUACCAUCAGAAUGCAAAACCAAGUAUUAUGGAAAGAUUAAACUGUUUUUCCUAAUCUGUCUGCAUAUUAGUGGGAGAGGGCUGACAUUAGGAGUUACCAUGGAAAAGGAAUAAAUAUGGGAGGUUAAGUGUGAAUAAGCCAAGUACUGAGUUAACUUGUGCUGGUUUAGAAUUGACUAUUUUUAGUCUAUGUGGCCUGCAGGAGAGGGUAGGAAAAAAAAGACAAUGAUAAUUUAACUAAAACAGAAAUUUUUUUACUGCAUGGACAGAAAUGCAUGUUUGUGUUCCUGAGCAUUAUACCACAGCAAAAGAGGAUGUUCAGGAACACAUUAGGAGAAUUAUGAGAUGAUUAUGUGCAUAGGUGAGAUUUACCAGGCACAUUGUGGCAUUCCUCUCCAGACUGAGAAGCUGUGAGGGGAAGCAAUCGAAUAUUUUUCUAUAUGGUUGGCAGCAGUAUUUUGAUAAACAUAAAAAUUUGAUCAUGAUGCCCUAUUUAAAUGAUGACAAAAAUGUUUAAAAAAAGGGGAAAAUACAAAGAAUUAUUAUUUUUUUAACUUUGAAAAUAUCUUUUCUUCUCACAGCCUUUUUCUAAUAUAAUUGUUUACAUUGAAAAAGUAGUCUUAGCUGUGUUUCCUUUCCUUUUUGCAAAAUAAGGAAAAUGUCUGUUUAAACCAGAGGAAUUUCCCCAGCACCUGAAAACUACAAAAUAUAGCAGCAUUACAUAUAAAAUUGACAAUGACAUUAAAAAAAUGCUAAGCCUUUGUACUAAACAAAGGAGCCCUUUACAAAGACUAGAAGACAACAUUUUGCAGUCAGAUAAGAGCUGAGGAGAAAGAAUUUCAUAUUUCUCUCAGUUAUGGUGCAUAUUCCAUGCAGGAGGUCUCUGGAUAGGGGUUUUUCAAGGCCAGAUACAGAUGCCAGGCUUUACUUGUAAUAGAGGCUGUCUUUGAAUAAGAGCGCCAGAAGCUGCAUGUGACCUGCAUGAAAGUGCAUACUGCAGUGUCUCCGGAGAUCCCUGUCCCCCAGGCAUCCAUCCUGGGACUAGCUUGGAGUGUGUCAUGGCUCCUGGGCAGCCCAUAAACUUGUGUCUUUUCUAUAGAAACUGAAUUAUAGGAACACAAGUAAAGUGGUGCAUCCUGGGUCUCAUCUUGAGAUCCUGGAGCUGUGACAUGGCUGAAAAAGUGCACACUGGAGUGGGGAAGUGUCCCUCAGCUGAUAUUUUGUGAACAUGUAGAGAAGGAUGCAUUGAUAUUUUUCAUGUGAAAUAGAAUAGAGUAGAAUAGGACAGAACAGACCAUUUCAGUUGAAAAGGACCUACCACAAGUAUCUAGUUCAGUUGCCUGACCAGUUCAGGGCUGACCAAGUCAAAGCAUGUUAACAAGGGCAUUGUCCAAAUGCCUCUUAAACACUGUCAGGCUUGGGGCAUUGACCACCUUUCUAGGAAGCCUGUUCCAGUGUUUGACAACCCUCUUGGUAAGGAGGUGCUUCGUAAUGUCUAAUCUAAACCUUCCCUGGUGCAGCUUUGAACCACUGCAGUAAUGAAAUAGUACCCUGUCCUUAAGCUUUUAGUUUGACUUAGUAGAACUACUCGUGGAAUGGGGCAGUUUAACAUGAAGUACUAUUUUCAAUAUGUGGAGUGGAAUUUACUGGACUUUGCAGGGGUUCAAACUCUUCUAGAGUGAGGUGAGUAGCCUGAGCUCUAGGGUAUCUUUUUAGUAUUGGAGACAAUUGUUCUAUUUCAGAUGGCUAUUCAUUUUGUCCUAAAAUAAAUCAGAUUAAUUAUCUUCUGGAGGUGCUUAUGUCUCCCUCAUAACUCUAAAAGAAAACUAUGAUGAUUAGCUUAGCGCCUAACAUUGAGGAAGUUAAUGUUAAAUAGGAAGAUGCUGGUUUGGAUAGAAUGUUGAAUAGGAAGAUGCUCUCUACAAUGUGGUCUUCAGUGGAAAGAAGAGCAAAAAAGCACCUUCAUUCUUUGUCAGUUUCUGAAGCUUUGGAUUGUGGUGACUAUCAAAUGCAAUAUAAGAGAAUUUUCAAAAAUAUUCAUGUUCUUAAGAUGCACAGCUAUGAGCUAUGAAGACAACAUAGUCUUCAUGAGUCUAUGAAGACAACAUACACCAUAGUAUGGAUCAUACUAGGAUAAGCAACAUGUUCAGUAUCUAUUAUUCAGCAAAAAUUGGCAGCCAGUAUAUGUCCUCUAGAACUGACUUGUUGGUAUGAUGCUAAUAAUAAUACUUAUAUUAAUAAUAUAAAAGAACCAAAACCAUCAGGUGUAAUGCAUAACAGGUAUUGAUUAUUAACCUCUGAAAAUCUCUAGAAGGUGAAAGUGAACAACAUUCUCCUAUGAACAAUUGAAAGGUUUUUUUUCUGACAGGUCAUCUUUUGGAAAUGAGCAUCCAGCUUCUGGAAUAGCUGAACACCCACACUUUUAUGAGAGGUAGAAGCAACUGCGAUUGUCACUCUGAAAACUGGCUAUUAGUUUUAAUAUGUGGGGAAAAGCACACCGCAGAACAGAAAGAAAUCAAUAUCUAAUAUAUUACUAUGUAACUAUAUGCCAAACCAAUAUUAGAAAUUGAGUACUGGGGGAAAAAUAAUAGUAAUAAAAAAAAUAUUACAAGGACAGAAAUAAAUCCAUAUUGAGUAUAUUUAUCUACAUUCCAAAUCCAAAUUUGCUUUCCAAAUCAAUACCAGAGAUAGACAACUAGUGUGAAAAGAACAGAAAUAUUGUCAGGAUGGAGAGAAAUCCAUACUGAGAGUGUUUAUCUACAUUCCAAAACAAUAUUGGAAAAAGCCUGAAGUCAGAUAUUUGUAAUAUUCCACUUAAUCUAAUUUUACAUUAUGGCAUCCAGAGUUUAAAAGAAACUCAAAAUUGAGUAACAUCUUUGGAAGAGGAGAAAGCAUACCAUCCAAACACACCAACUGGCUGCACAUGGAGCCAAAUGGCGUUUAGUGUGUGCAUUCCACUACUCUGAAUCAAUGCAGUUCUGUUGCUAUCUAUAAAUACUGCUUACAUUUUUACACUACCUACUCUUUCUCACUUGCAGAUGCUGGAUUGUUUCUAAAUUAAUAACAGCUGCUAAAAGGAGAGGCAAUAAUUUUAUUUAUGUUUCGAUUUAUAAAAUACGCUGUUCGUAGCCUUUCCAGUACAAGGAAUGAGCUCUGUUAGCUACCUUUACAUAGUAAUGCUUUGCAGUGGGCUACUGAGAUUCUCAGUAUUGGGAGGCAGCAUUAGUGGUGACUCAACUAGUACGAGUGCUGUCGUAACUACUGCUUGAGUAAGACAACAUAAUACAAGAGAGCUAAAAUGUGUCCCUGGAUAUGAGAAAAAAAUGGCAUUUUUCUUGUAACUAAGCCUGACAUCAGUGUAAGCAAUGCAGCUACAUUAGUUGUUGAUCUGUGCUUCUCUGCAUGAGCAAUGGGUGUGUGGUCUCUUUAAGCAUCAGCAGAGGGGAAAAAAAUGGAACAAGUAUUACUGGUUUUUCUGCCAAGGUUGAACAGAAAUAUUGCCACUGCGGUAGCCUCUUCACUCACAUAUUCAUUCCUCUUCCUCCUCCAGGCUUUUAAACCAGCAGUAGCAAUGAUACAUAAUUUAAAAAAGCAGAAAUUCAUCAUAUAAAUAUGACAUUUAUGACAUUGUAUAAUUAUACAAUAUAACCUAUUGUACCUAGAUUAUUCUACAAUAGGCCAGACUUAAUGGUAGUUGUGGUCAGUCAGUGCUAAUAAGGCAAUGUAUUUCUCACAUGGCAUUUUUUUCACUGUAAAACUGCUACUAACUUUCAUCACAUGAAAGAAUUUGCCUUUUGCUGUGAGACAUGAAAUCUUACAGGAUAAAGCAAUGAUGUGUCAAUAGCAAAUCAUGAUAAGAAGUGCUUCUCCUAAUAUUAUUUAAGGGGCCGUAUGAAUAAAUUAAGAAACAACCUCACUAUAUAACAGCUCUAUUCCCCUGCCUCACUUCAGAGCCUCUGUCUAUAGAUUCCUCACCUUCUACCUUAAUUUCAGAUAAAGAUUUAUAGGAAUAAUACACAUAUAUACAGUGACUAGCAAUACCUUGUGGUGCAUAAAAAGACUGUGAUGGCAAUAUAAGUAAGUACAUAGACUGUAGCAAAAUAGUACCCAUGGAAAAGAGUGAUUGCACUUGUGACAGCCUCUAUGUUGCUAUGGCGUCUCUUUCCAUGCCUUUGGCUAAUCUCUCACUAGGAGAAAUUUGCAGCUGUCUCAGCAUUUUUCUCAUUGCUAACUCACAAACUGCUGUAUCUGUCUGUCAUUAAAAUAGCCAUAAGUGUUAUGUAUGCAUUUCCCUAAAAACACAUACCAAGUUUCAGGGGGCAAAUGAGUUGGUAAUAGAAAUAGGAUGGCAUUUUCUGAGGUCAAGUUAGCUUUUUAUGUUAGUCAUUAAUUAUUAUUUUGAUCUAGCAUCACAAUUCUUUCAUAUUGAAGCUCUGUAUUUUUUGUAAGACACCUACACUCUAAUCUUCUGGGACACUUGGAUAUUUUACUAAAAAAUGUUAGCAGUCCAGCCAACACAUGUUACAAGGAAUCAUCAGUAUUCAUGGCUAUGCGAUUUGCUGAUUUUCUUAAAAAUAGCCACUAUACGCCAAAUUUACUUAUUUAAUGUGAAGUUGGUGAGCCUAGUUCUGUCCGAUGAAAAGGUUCCUGUUGCAAAUCUACAUUUGACAAAAGUUUAGACCUAUAGCUGGAUGGUGAUCAUUUGUAGGUCACAGAAAUAUAGACAAGUAAUAUUCCUUUCCCCAAAGAAUGUACUUAAAAAUAGCCACAAACUCAUGUUAUGGUGAAAAGGAUUGAAGGAGUAAGUGUGAUGUGAAAUGUUAUAAGCAAAGCCGUAGUCUAAAACACCAGCAAAACUUGUUGGGCAAGUGAGGAUAAUCCAAACAUUGAACACCCAAGACAUCUUCAGUCUCAGAUUUUGUUUGGUUCUGUUCUGACUUUGAGUCCUAUGGAUACUGAUAUUAAGAACUGAAAGUGAGGAACAUCAGCAGUGUUGUGGUUUAAGCCCAGCUGGCAACUCAGCACCACACAGUCAUUUGCUCAACCUCCUCCUUCUGCCCUCCAGGCAGGAUGGGGAGGAUAAUCGAAAGAAUGUAAAACCCCUUGGGUUGAGAUAAGAACAGUUUAGUAACUGAAGUACAGUAUACUACUACUACCACUACUAAUAAUAGUGGUAAGGGAAAUAACAAGGGGGCAGAAUAUAAAGCUAAAAGGGGAAAGGAAAAAAGAAACCCAAUAAACACAAGUGAUGCACAAUGCAAUUGCUCACCACCUGCUGACUGAUAUCCAGCCCAACCCGAGAAGCAAUUGGUCUCUUCUGGGUAACUCCCUGCAAUUUAUAUACUGGGCGUGACAUGCUGUGGUAUGGAAUACCCCUUUGGCUAGUUUGGUUCAGGUGUCCUGUCUCUGCUUCCUCGCAGCUUCUUAUGCCCCUCCUCACUGGCAGAGCAUGAGACUGAAAAGUCCUUGAUCAGGGUAAGCAAUACUUAGCAACAACUAAAACACUGGUGUGUUAUCAGCAUUGUUCUCAGACUAAAGCCAAAACACAGCACUGCAGCAGCUACUAGGAAGGAUUAAAAAUAACUGUUACAGCUGAAACCAGGAGAAAAAGAGAGAAUGGGUUAAAGGUACUAUGCAUAGGCACAGCACUUUUGAAAAGAAGGAGCCUGUUAAUGCAGUACUUGAAGGAAAAUUUCUAAAAGCAGAAUAGUAUUUUAUUUUUUUAUUAGCAGCUUUUGCCUAGAAGGUUUGCAAUUUUUUGUUAUUUUUUUUCCCUUGCUGCAUCUCUUUGUGAAUACACUGAAUCUUGUCUCUAGUUAUUCCGAAGGGUUACUCUAUUUUUUUUGUGAGUAGACACACUGUACAAAUCAUGAGAAAUGAAGUAUUUUGCAAUCCCUUCAUCAUACUCACAGAGUGUUAGUAAUAUAUGAUGUGGUUUAUACAUUUUUAUGAGGGAAUAGUUUUUCCUGAGGUAAGACUGCAGCUAGCAUCCGUUGUAAAACACCAUUUUAGCUUCUGCAGAACCUGAAAAUUAACAGAAUUACUCUGAAAUCAAAGAAAAAUAGUUCUGCAAUGUUUAAAGAAAAUACAAAUGGAUUUCGGUUGCAUGUCAUUAAUUAACUAAUCAGUGAUUUUUGCAAGCAUCACUUUCUUCCACGUGGGAAUCCUCCACUCCAUGAGACCAGCCAAGAGGUUUUCUGCCUUUGUCCCAAAAGACUCAACUUGUGAUUUAUUUUUCUUUCUUUUCUUUUCCCCCCAAUUUGUCCUUUGCUGGCACAUUUGAGCUAUUGACCUCAUGCCUGAAGAAUAAUUUUCUGCCUCUGUGAUGGCAAAUGAGAAUGAGUUUUGAAGGCUAUAUGUAAAUUACUUGUUUUCUCCACUUCUCCAUGAAGUGGCAAAGACCUGAUAACCAAAAAUCAAAGAUGUUUCCACUCUCAUUUCCAGCUCCAUUCUGCCAGUCUCUUUGCCCUUUCACAGCUGUGCAAGAAGAGCUCUGAAUAUCUAGAAGUGGGUUUUAGUUUUCCUAGAAAAUCUGUCAGCUUCUGCUACCUACCCCACAAGUUACCAUAUAGGAAGAUGAUAUUCAAAUGCCAGUUUCAUGUGAGUCAUGCUGGCAUGCUGGCAUGAUUCUAAAACUAGUGCUUCUUCCUUGUCUCACCCUCCUUUGCAGUCUGCAAGGGCUUCUUCGGAUUGUUUAUGCAAGUCAGAAAUGGUACAUUUCAGCUCAGAGGGACUGGAGUGUUCCGAAACCUUAUAUUACCUACUACUUAAAUAGCUGCAGGCAGAACUCUUGCUUCUUUCCCUGAGUAUUUGGCACAGGCUUCACAAACUGUGUAUCACUGCUUAGUUGCAGAACUCAUAUGCAGAAAAGUGCAACCCAACUCUUCAAAAGGUAGUACUUUCAAUUCUCCAAAGUCCCAUAGUUUUCUUGAAGUAUUUCCUUAUUCAUUAGGACUGUUUAUAGAAAACCUCAGAAUUACCAUCCUGUCACAGCAUUGCUUUUCUGCCCUCUAACAGGGAAGGAAGGAAAUGGAUGAUGAUCAAUAUCAAGCAGAGAAAGUUAGUCAUACAGAGCAUUUUGCACAGUCACCGUUGGAGGAAUGAACAACUCUCAAAUAUCUGAGGUUACUUAGAUAUUAUUCCCUUGCAGAGCAAAGUGAGCAUCGUUGUAAAUCUUACUUAUUUCUCCGUAAGACUAAUGAAGAUAGUCCUGUCCUAUCUGAGAACUGUUCAAAAUGAAGAAAAAAUGUAUUUCAGGCAAGAAUAAAUGGAAGACUGAUGUCUAGGACUAAAUUAAAAAUCAAAAGGACCAGCAUAAAAUUAAUUUCCAUAAGAAUUUCCAAGUUGUUAAUUUUUUUCAUAGCUUGUCGUUUACUCCUUCCACCUUGGUGAACACCAAAUUAAUCUUAGGAAAUACACUACUGCUUUGUAUGGCAAAAGGCUCCAACUUUAGAUCUGCUAUAAAAUGGACUUCGAGCUCUCUUCUGCUGCAUUAUUGGCAUAUACAGAUGAUUCUUUCUCAGAUCUUACAGUCAUGACUAUCAUUAAUCCCCUUCCAUAUCUGCAGUAAGAAAUAUCACAGAGCUCUGAAGUGGAGAUUCUGGGUAAAGCUACAAAAUACACAAUUCACCAUGAUGUAUUUGUAUGGUGUGACCUGUAGAAUUAUAUUGGCAAGACCUCUAAAAUCAGAAGUGAACCCAAGUGUGUCUCCAGUUUGUAAAGAUGGAUAUGAUCUCAAGGAAACAAUGGAUUGUGUCUAUCAACAUGUAUCUACAAACUCAGCAGCAAAAGAAGAUCUGAGAAUUUUAAUGGAGCUGCAUAUUUUAAGAGGUCCAAACCUGCUUUGCCUCUUCAGGUUCAAGAAUGCCAGAAAAUAUUACUGAUGCCAACCAGCUCAUUCUUCAUCUUUAAUUUAAGCCUUGUGGCUCAGGAACUUGUCUCUGCCAGAAGAAGAACAAAAGACUACCUCUGCUUGUGCUGUUACUAAUGCAGGCAAAUGCACAGAGUACUUUUUCUUCUAAAAUUCUGAGAUCACUCCGUCCUGCCUCUUUGCCAUCUCUCCAGAGUUGGCAAAACCAGAGUAUAGUAAAUUUAUACUCUUCAAGGCAUUGUUCUAAUUCUAGUUGUUAAUAAUUAUUGUUCAAUAUUUUCAGAAUAUGAAAAAGGAACAGGAGACUUUCUCCUAGAAUGCAACUUGGCAGAUUUGAAGGUGAUUACUUGCAAAGCAAAUUUCUUUUGGAGAGCUAUUAAAGAAAUUACCAGAGUCCUUUUUCUCUCUUGACCUUAAAGCAAAUCAUUAGUACUUACAUUCCCGAAAUUUGAAGGUAACAGUUAACAACGUCUUCAGAGCCUUUUGGUCUUUCCUUCAUUAUUUGAGAUUUUAGAAUAUCAGUGUCUAAUUGUGAUUAGCUACUCCAGUUCAUUCGUACUUACCUUGUCUUGGUUCACAUGCUAGUCAGAAGAUAAUGAGAAGAUGAAGAUAUGAAGACAACUGGCCAGGUUCUUUAUGGAAGACAAAUUAAACUGAAUACCAAAGCACAUUCUUCAUUAGAUUUCUAGACUUCAUUUCCCCUUUGACAAGAUACAUCUUUUCUGUGUACUCUGAGGUUCAAAAACAGUAUGAAGACAAUCCCCACUCCUCCUCCCCCAGAGGAGUUACAGGAAAUUGUAACUUUCACCUGGAAAUUUCCAUAAUACUCAAGCAAGAAGACAUUUAUGAUCCAUUCAGGAAUGAUGCUAAUAGCAUGCAUCAGUUUAUCAUGAGUUCAUGGCAAAUGCAAGGCCAAAACACCAGAGCCAUGAUUUUCUGGAGUUAACACCAGUUUGUUAUGCUAUGUUCUUUCAAGAAUGCUACAGGAGCUUGUGACCAUUACAUGUAAAAAAUGCAAGAGAAUGACGGUGAAAUUUCAUCAUCUAAAUGCAAGUCGAUAUGCUCUCUGUUUUGUGUUCAAUUUAUCUACUUAUGAAAUUGACAGUACUAGUUGCUUUUUUCCCUUCUUCGUCUCUGAGGAUCAAGAUGACUACAGCUGUUAGUUGGGAAUCAGCAACCAUAAUCUUGACCGCUUCUUAGUGAUCCAGACUUUAUGUAUUUUUUCCUAGGCAAUGAGAAAUCCUUCUAAUUGUUCAUCUAUGACAGCUUUUACAUGAAAAGCCCUUGAGUCUUCCUUUUCCCAGUUCUGUUAAGACUUGAGAGAGUGUGACAGGGAUUUUGCUGAAAUCCUCCAAAUCUGCCAGCUUUCUUCAGUUUCUUAUCUGUAUUAGAGUGCUGGCGUGAUGGGUACUUAAACUGGAGAAAGUUAAAAUUAAAUUCCCUUAAAAUAAUUUUAUAUUCUCUGAAUGGGUACCCACUACUCUGUCAGCACUCACAACUUUGGCUAAAAUUUCUCCAAGCCUGAGAAAGUCUUUUCUUCAUGUGGAGAUUCUAAAUGGAUGCAAAGAGAGAGGAAAAUGAUCAAAGGGUUCCAAGUCGAUAACUGAUUCAUUGGUUUUAAACAUUUUUUUUCCUGCCUGGAUAUUGCUCUGCUGUUUUCUAACUUGUUUUUUAGUUGUCUUAUAUUCCCUCAGCUGUGGCAGUAUUCCUGGAGCCAAAUGUGAGUGCACUACCUCAAAAUGCCAGCAGUGGAAGCUGGUAAGCAAGUGGGGGAAAAUCACCAGAGGAAUCACUGAAGCUUGGGACAAAGGCAGAAAACACAUCAGUACUGCACUAACAGAGCAGCAGGUACCCUCAUAGAGAAGAUAUAAUUACAGUCUUUUAUGCCGCCAUGCUGCAGUCCCACUAUGGAGUUCUGAUCACCACAAAAACCUCAAGAGGAUAUAUCCUUGUCUGAAUGGCUACAGUUAUUAUCUGUUACAGAAAGUAAAAUAAGGCAAACGUGUAAAACUCCUCGAGUCCGAAUGGAGACGUAGAGAAAGGAGGUUUCUGCUGUGCCUGAUGACAAUUUUUGUUUUUUUCCACACACACAAAAUAUUCUGGCUCCACGUCGGAGCACUAGUUGUGAUGAAUCCUAGACUUGGUCGGAUUCUAAGGAAGGGACAGAACGUUCAUUGAGGAAUAAAGAGUCAGACCACUCCAGAAAAUGUGUUCCAGCCCUGGUUUAUUACUCACAGAGCAGCAGGUAACCCGAUAGCUAAAGACAAAUCAAGUCAGUCUCAAGGCUGAUAACAUUAAAUACAACACACAGGAAUUUCAUUCCUCCAGGCAAUCCUUGAAGUGAAAUUUUAUACUGCUGGGGUGUAUCCUUCAGAAUCAAUUGUUUCAAUGAGAACCUGGCUUGUAAUCAGCAACAACCUUGAGAUCAAAACUACUGGGAAGUUAUUUGGAACUUCUGUGUCACAAAGAUUUCAACUGAUUGAACUGUGUACACUUGUAAAAUUGCACUUGCUGAGGAAUUUGCAGCUGUAAUCACGAGAGUUGAUAUUUAAAAUGUGCAGAAAACCAACAAUCUUUUGGAUUCUCCAUUCCAGACCAGUGGCUUUUCAUCUUGAUGAAGUCAACCUCCAAAAUGUAUUGGUUCCUUCUCUCUAAAAUGAACCCUGGUCCACAUUCAGAUCGCUGAUGGGACUGCACACUGCUUUAAUUAAAUUUCUGUUGCAGAAAUUGUCCUCUGGCAUGGCACAGUUUUAGACAUUUUUAUUUGUAUUCUAAUCUUGGAGCUUUCAAAGUUACAUAUUUCAACAUCUUGAAGUUGCUUUUGUUAUAGGAAUGGAAAUAUAUAUACAUUGUUAAUAAUUAUUGUUGACAAGUAAUAGUUAUCUGAAUACAUCGGUAAUAUUAGAAUGUGUAGUCAGGUUGACAUGUUUCCCUAAGGCUAACCAACUACUGCAGCUCUUUGGCGAUUAAAAAAGUAGUGGUCAAAACUCAGUUACCACUUCCAUUAUAAGGCAUUUUAUAACUUUAAAAUACACAUUUCCAUUUAGUUUGAAGGAGAUGAGUGUUCCUGAUAUGUACUUUACUUUCCCAACCUUUAGUUCAUUGAAAUUCAUGGUAAGCAUUCAAUGACAGUAUUCAUCCCUUUUUAUAAAGGUAGGCAGGGAUGUUUUGCAAUUAUGAAAUUGGAUGGUAAUAAUUCAGAAUUUUGGGGGUGUUUUUUAUUAAAAAAUAAAAUCUCUUGCUUGAACCUAAGUACUGUUGGGUGCUUAUGUAGAUGUCUGCUCAGUCUGUUUGCUAUAAAGGGAAAAAGCCCUAGUGCCCUCUCAGAUUUACAGUUUGUGGGUAUUUUGCUUGCUUGCAGUCGUCCAAUUCAGAUCUGAUCCUUGGCAAAAUCACAUUUACUUUUUUAUUUUUGUUUCAGUAGCAAUUUUUGAGCUUAGUGAUGUGCUGUUACAUGAAAAGAAAUCCUCAAUAUUUAAAGGCCUUAAGCAUCUAUGAGCUUUUUUCUGGGUUAGUACAGAAUGUAUAAUUUUAUACUCCAUUUAAUGUAUAUUGUACCAUCUGUAAUAUUGAUACAACAGAAAUUUGGCAAUUCCAUCUAGUGACACUGCAUAAGCAUGCUGACUGGAGAGGGUGAGGGAGUUCUGACGGUAUGCUUUGGUGCAUUGAAACGAAAACCACACACACUUAAUGGUAGUCAAAAAUAUACAGGGUGAGCUUAUUUAGAAGUCCUGUGUGGUUACCAGACUCUCAGAAAAAGAGGGAAAUGAUUUUAUCAUCACAAGCCAUUGACAUGGCUAGGUAGUUAUAUAUUAAGUUCCAUGAUGGAUGAACACCCUGGAGUGCUCUGCCUAUCACAGUAGCUCCUGCUGUUCCAAAACCAUUUCAUUACCUCUGCUGUAUUAUUGCACAGAAGAGCUUAAAUAAAAUAAAUGACUGUUGGGAAUAAAAUUGAGAAGUAUAUUCUAUCAUUCUGCUGAGAAAUAAUAAAAAAAUUUGGCGGGGAAAGAUACUCUUUUCUGAUUAAAAUUUAAUUAGGAUAAACUAGCAGCAACUAGGUAUCUCAGUAUUUUAGGAUGGAUAAAUAUUGUAUGGAUUUGUGCUAACAGGUGCAGGACAGAAGGCAGCAUCUUAAAGAGGUUGUCUGGGACAGUGCGAAGUGUAAAUGUGCUGUUUUGUAAAAUCUGAAUAUAGCCUCUCUUUGGUCAAAAACUACAUCAUGCUUCUCAAUAUUUGUUUUCUUUGUUUCUUUGUUCUUAAGCCAACAAUGAAAAUACUGUAUAAUAUACAAGUGUACACAUGCAUAUCAAUAAGUGAAAAUAAAUGGAUUUUCAAAUAUACUGAAUAGAUUAUCUGAAGUAGAUUAAUGUUGUGAGUAUUCAUAGAAAGUGAAUAAAAUUGUAAUAUAAAAUAGA